GGUCCAGACUCCUACGGGAGGCAGCAGUGGGGGAUAUUGCACAAUGGGGGGAACCCUGAUGCAGCGACGCCGCGUGGGUGAAGAAGUAUUUCGGUAUGUAAAGCCCUAUCGGCAGGGAAGAAAUUGGACGGUACCUGACUAAGAAGCCCUGGCUAACUACGUGCCAGCAGCCGCGGUAAUACGUAGGGGGCAAGCGUUAUCCGGAUUCACUGGGUGUAAAGGGAGCGCAGGCGGCACGGCAAGCCUGAUGUGAAAGCCCGCGGCCCAACCGCGGGACUGCAUUGGGAACUACCGGGCUGGAGUGCCGGAGAGGUAGGCGGAAUUCCUAGUGUAGCGGUGAAAUGCGUAGAUAUUAGGAGGAACACCAGUGGCGAAGGCGGCCUACUGGACGGUGACUGACGCUGAGGCUCGAAAGCGUGGGGAGCAAACAGGAUUAGAUACCCGAGUAC
rnacentral:rRNA from 1 species